GACGAACGCUGGCGGCGUGCUUAACACAUGCAAGUCGAACGGAAAGGCCCUGCUUUUGUGGGGUGCUCGAGUGGCGAACGGGUGAGUAACACGUGAGUAACCUGCCCUUGACUUUGGGAUAACUUCAGGAAACUGGGGCUAAUACCGGAUAGGAGCUCCUGCUGCAUGGUGGGGGUUGGAAAGUUUCGGCGGUUGGGGAUGGACUCGCGGCUUAUCAGCUUGUUGGUGGGGUAGUGGCUUACCAAGGCUUUGACGGGUAGCCGGCCUGAGAGGGUGACCGGCCACAUUGGGACUGAGAUACGGCCCAGACUUCUACGGGAGGCAGCAGUGGGGAAUAUUGCACAAUGGGCGGAAGCCUGAUGCAGCAACGCCGCGUGCGGGAUGAUGGCCUUCGGGUUGUAAACCGCUUUCGCCUGUGACGAAGCGUGAGUGACGGUAAUGGGUAAAGAAGCACCGGCUAACUACGUG
rnacentral:rRNA from 1 species